rnacentral:rRNA from 1 species
AUUGAGCGCUGGCGGCAUGCCUUACACAUGCAAGUCGAACGGCAGCGAACCUUCGGGUGCCGGCGAGUGGCGAACGGGUGAGUAAUAUAUCGGAACGUACCUUUCAGUGGGGGAUAACGUAGCGAAAGUUACGCUAAUACCGCAUAUUCUGUGAGCAGGAAAGCAGGGGAUCGCAAGACCUUGCGCUGAUUGAGCGGCCGAUAUCAGAUUAGCUAGUUGGUGAGGUAAAGGCUCACCAAGGCGACGAUCUGUAGCGGGUCUGAGAGGAUGAUCCGCCACACUGGAACUGAGACACGGUCCAGACUCCUACGGGAGGUAGCAGUGGGGAAUUUUGGACAAUGGGCGCAAGCCUGAUCCAGCCAUGCCGCGUGAGUGAAGAAGGCCUCGGUU